rnacentral:rRNA from 1 species
GACGAACGCUGGCGGCGUGCUUAAUACAUGCAAGUCGAACGGAGAAGCCCUGCUUUUGUGUGGUACUCGAGCGCCGAACGGGUGAGUGACAAGAGUGUACCCUGCCCUUGACGUUGGGUUAACGUCAGGUAACUGAGGCCAAUAUCGGAUCGGAGCUCCUGCUGCUUGUGGGGUGUUGGAAAUUUUCGGCGGUUGUGGAUCGACUCGCGGCUUACCAGCUUGUUGGUGGGGUAGUGGCUUACCAAGACUUUGAUGGGUAGUCGGCCUGAGAGGGUGACCGGCGACAUUGGGACUGAGAUACGGCCCAGACUCCUACGGGAGGCAGCGGUGGGGAAUAUUGCACAAUGGGCGGAAGCCUGAUGCAGAACCGCCGCGUGCGGGAUGACGGCCUUCGGGUUGUAAACCGCUUUCGCCUGUGACGAAGCGUGAGUGACGGUAAUGUGUAAAGAAGCACCGGCUAACUACGUG